rnacentral:rRNA from 1 species
UGGGGAAUAUUGGACAAUGGGCGCAAGCCUGAUCCAGCCAUGCCGCGUGGGUGAAGAAGGCCCUAGGGUUGUAAACCCCUUUCAGCGGGGAAGAUAAUGACGGUACCCGCAGAAGAAGCCCCGGCUAACUCCGUGCCAGCAGCCGCGGUAAUACGGAGGGGGCUAGCGUUGUUCGGAAUUACUGGGCGUAAAGCGCGCGUAGGCGGAUUCGCAAGUCAGGGGUGAAAUCCCGAGGCUCAACCUCGGAACUGCCUUUGAUACUGCGGAUCUCGAGUCCGAGAGAGGUGAGUGGAAUUCCUAGUGUAGAGGUGAAAUUCGUAGAUAUUAGGAAGAACACCAGUGGCGAAGGCGGCUCACUGGCUCGGUACUGACGCUGAGGCGCGAAAGCGUGGGGAGCAAACAGGAUUAGAUACCCCCGUAGUCC